CCGACGGUGAGAGGCGAAAGCUGGGGGAGCAAACCGGAUUAGAUACCCGGGUAGUCCCAGCCGUAAACGAUGUGCGUUAGGUGUAUCGGUGACCACGAGUCACCGAGGUGCCGAAGAGAAAUCGUGAAACGUACCGCCUGGGUAGUACGGUCGCAAGGCUGAAACUUAAAGGAAUUGGCGGGGGAGCACCACAACAGGUGGAGCCUGCGGUUUAAUCGGACUCAACGCCGGGAAACUCACCAGAUAAGACAGCUGAAUGAUAGUCGGGCUGAAGACUCUACUUGACUAGCUGAGAGGAGGUGCAUGGCCGUCGUCAGUUCGUACUGUGAAGCAUCCUGUUAAGUC
rnacentral:rRNA from 1 species